UCCCUGGUGGCUCAGAGGUUAAAGCGUCUGCCUCCAAUGCGGGAGACCCGGGUUCAGUCCCUGGGUUGGGAA
rfam:Ovis aries breed Texel chromosome 3, whole genome shotgun sequence.